rnacentral:rRNA from 1 species
UACAGGGGGUGCAAACGUUGCUCGGAAUUAUUGGGCGUAAAGCGCGCGUAGGCGGCUAUCUAAGUCGGAUGUGAAAGCCCCUGGCUUAACUGGGGAAGUGCACCCGAAACUGGGUAGCUAGAGUGCGAAAGAGGGUCGCGGAAUUCCCGGUGUAGAGGUGAAAUUCGUAGAUAUCGGGAGGAACACCGGUGGCGAAGGCGGGUCUCUGGGCCGAAAUUGACGCUGAGGAGCGAAAGCGUGGGGAGCAAACAGG